rnacentral:rRNA from 1 species
UACGUAGGGGGCAAGCGUUGUCCGGAUUUAUUGGGCGUAAAGAGCGUGUAGGCGGCCAUACAGGUCAGCUGUGAAAACUCGAGGCUCAACCUCGAGACGUCGGUUGAAACCGUAUGGCUAGAGUCCGGAAGAGGAGAGUGGAAUUCCCGGUGUGAGCGGUGAAAUGCGCAGAUAGUCGGGAGGAACACCGGUGGCGAAGGCGGGUCUCUGGGCCGAUACUGACGCUGAGGAGCGAAAGCGUGGGGAGCGAACAGG